AUUGAACGCUGGCGGCAUGCCUUACACAUGCAAGUCGAACGGCAGCACGGGGCAACCUGGUGGCGAGUGGCGAACGGGUGAGUAAUGCAUCGGAACGUACCUUUCAGUGGGGGAUAACGUAGCGAAAGUUACGCUAAUACCGCAUAUUCUGUGAGCAGGAAAGCAGGGGAUCGCAAGACCUUGCGCUGAUUGAGCGGCCGAUGUCAGAUUAGCUAGUUGGUGAGGUACAGGCUCACCAAGGCGACGAUCUGUAGCGGGUCGGAGAGGAUGAUCCGCCAAACGGAAACUGAGACACGGUCCAGACUCCUACGGGAGGCAGCAGUUGGGAAUUUUGGACAAUGGGGGCAACCCUGAUCCAGCCAUGCCGCGUGAGUGAAGAAGGCCUUCGGGUUGUAAAGCUCUUUCGGCCGGGAAGAAAUCGCACGGGCUAAUACCCUGUGUGGAUGACGGUACCGGAAUAAGAAGCACCGGCUAACUACGUGCCAGCCGCCGCCGUAACAC
rnacentral:rRNA from 1 species